rnacentral:pre_miRNA from 1 species
UUCCCCACUCUGAGCACACAGCACAAAGUAAUCACACUCUGUGUGCUCAGAGGGGGCAAUC